AAUAGGAUAAUUCUAGGCUAGAUUUGUGCAUAUCAAUUAAGGAAUUGGUGAAACCCCUACAUAAAAAAAUUUCAAAACUCAUCUUUACUGACACCUUUGCUAUUUGAUGAAAUUAUGUCUAUUUAUUUUUUAGGAAUUAUAUACAAGAUAUAAGCGAUAAUUGAUGAUUUCAUAUACUUUGAUCAUUUUUGUCAUGCUAAUUAGAUAAAAAACAUGCUAGGAUUUCUUUGUUCUAUUAUUUAUUAUCUAACCCCUCAUGUCUUGCGGAAGCACGUUACAAGUUACUCAUGCUAUCCAAGUACGCCCCCUAACACUCACCUUCUAAAUUUUGUGAAUAUGUUUGUCACUAUGAACUGCACCCAUGUUCGAUA
rnacentral:lncRNA from 1 species